rnacentral:rRNA from 1 species
UGAACCAUCGAGUCUUUGAACGCAAGUUGCGCCCCAAGCCAUUAGGCCGAGGGCACKUCUGCCUGGGUGUCACGC